rfam:Chloroflexi bacterium RBG_16_63_12 RBG_16_scaffold_50252, whole genome shotgun sequence.
UCUACGGAGAGUUUGAUCCUGGCUCAGGAUGAACGCUGGCGGCGUGCUUAAGACAUGCAAGUCGAACGAAGAGAUUGUAGCAAUACGGUCUCUGAGUGGCGAAUGGGUGCGUAACACGUAGGUGACCUGCCCCGAAGUGUGGAAUAACAGUCCGAAAGGACUGCUAAUACCGCAUGUGGUCCCGGGUUUUAGAAAGCCGGGUCCAAAGUUUCCUUCGGGAGACGCUUCGGGAGGGGCCUGCGGCCCAUCAGCUCGUUGGUAGGGUAACGGCCUACCAAGGCAACGACGGGUAGGGGACCUGAGAGGGUGACCCCCCACAUUGGCACUGACACACGGGCCAAACUCCUACGGGAGGCAGCAGUCGGGAAUAUUGCACAAUGGGCGAAAGCCUGAUGCAGCAACGCCGCGUGAGCGAUGAAGGCCUUCGGGUCGUAAAGCUCUUUUCGGGAGGAUGAGGAAGGACAGUACUCCCGGAAUAAGUCACGGCUAACUACGUGCCAGCAGCCGCGGUAAAACGUAGGUGGCGAGCGUUAUCCGGAUUUACUGGGCGUAAAGCGCGUUUAGGCGGUUUGGCAAGUCGGGCAUGAAAUCUCUUGGCUCAACCAGGAGGGGCUGUCCGAUACUUCCAGACUUGAGGGCAGUAGAGGAGGGUGGAAUUCCGGGUGUAGUGGUGAAAUGCGUAGAUAUCCGGAGGAACACCAGUGGCGAAAGCGGCCCUCUGGGCUGCUCCUGACGCUCAAACGCGAAAGCUAGGGGAGCGAACGGGAUUAGAAACCCCGGUAGUCCUAGCCGUAAACGAUGUUGACUGGGUGUCAGCGGUCUAAACCCCGCUGGUGCCGUAGCAAACGCGUUAAGUCAACCGCCUGGGGACUACGGCCGCAAGGUUAAAACUCAAAGGAAUUGACGGGGACCCGCACAAGCAGCGGAGCGUGUGGUUUAAUUCGAGGCUACGCGAAGAACCUUACCAGGGUUUGACAUGCACGUAGUAGU